AUGGACGUCCUGCUCUCUGCAGUCGUUGGCGACCUCUUCGGCAGGUCGGCAUCCUUCGUGAUCAACAGAUACUUCCAGCGGCAGCCCGGCAUCGACAUGAUUCUCCAGAGGCUGGAGAGAGUAGUACUGAGAAUCGACACCGUUGUCGAGGAGGCAGAGGGGCGGCACAUCACCAACCAAGGGAUGCUCCGUCAGCUCAAGAUGUUGAGGCAAGGGAUGUACAGAGGCCACUAUGUUCUUGAUGCCUUGACAUUCCAAGCCCCUGACGAUGAGGAGGAGGAGGAGGAGGAGGUCAGCCACUCAUCGUCUGCGCUCACCAAUGUAACUCCAGCCAAACGGCUUCGUUUCUCUCAGGCUGGCAGCAGUACUAGUAACAGAGAAGAACUGUUGUUUGGUGUAAACAGCAACGUACGAGAAGAGCUGCAGCGGAUGGUUGAUACCCUUGAAGACACCAUGGCUGGUAUGAAAGAAUUUCUUUUCUUCUUGCAGUCGUGUCCUCCGAUACUCCGCCAACCUUAUGGCGCAUAUUUGCUCUUGGACAAUUGCAUGUUUGGUCGCCAAUCAGAACGGCAACGGGUCCUGGAUUUCUUGCUGCGUCCCAGUGCUGCUCCAGAUUUGGCUGUACUUCCAAUUGUUGGUCCAAUAAGAGUAGGGAAGACCACUCUUGUUGAGCAUAUUUGCAGGGAUGAGAGUGUGCGUGAUCGUUUCUCAAUGAUCCUCUUCUUUCCAGAAGGCAGCCUCAAGGAUGAAGGAGUGAUCGACCUGAAAGGGGAAAAUAUUAAUGGUCUAGUCAAACAUCGGGAUUGUGCUUCUUCAAACAUGUUGCUGAUUAUUGUUGAAAUAGGUGAGGACAUUAACAAGGAAGCAUGGAGAAGGCUGAAAUCUUCCACGACACGCAUGACACCGCGUGGUGGGAGUAAAAUUAUAAUCACAAGUCGUUCUGGAAGAAUUGUUAAUCUAGGAACAACCGAAACACUUCGGCUGGACUAUCUCCCUCCAGAAGCUUAUUGUCACUUUUUCAAAUCAAUUGCAUUCGGAAGCACAAACCCUAAUGAGCACCCAAAACUGGCAACAAUGGCUAUGGAGAUCGCUUUGGAACAGAGACAAUGUUUCACAGGCGCGCAUCUUGUUGCUGGGAUACUGAGAGAUAACUUCAAUGCUCGAUUUUGGCGCACAAUUCUUGAAUGCGUGAGAGCAUAUAAACAGACAAAUCUCCUUAUGUUUGAAAAGCACCCAAACCUUCGUUUGCGGGAAGAUGAACCAGUGUACUAUUGGAGAUUGGCGAAGAGCCGCAGAUAUUUCUUGAUUUGCAACUAUCAUCCGUCAGAUUCCUCCAGUGAGGAAGUCCCCAAGAUCAGUGUGCGGGACAUCCUCUUAGGAUGUACACUACCUCAUGGGGAAUUUGAGGCUCUUGCAUGGAGGUCUCGCAUACCACCCUACUACAACUACACAAUAAGCUGUAAGAUGCAAGCGCCAGAACCUAAGGUUGGAAGAAAGAAGCGCAUGCCUCAGGACGAAGGACAUUUGAGUUGA
rnacentral:rRNA from 1 species